rnacentral:rRNA from 1 species
CUAACACAUGCAAGUCGAGCGGAUGAAAGGAGCUUGCUCCUGGAUUCAGCGGCGGACGGGUGAGUAAUGCCUAGGAAUCUGCCUGGUAGUAGGGGGACAACGUUUCGAAAGGAACGCUAAUACCGCAUACGUCCUACGGGAGAAAGCAGGGGACCUUCGGGCCUUGCGCUAUCAGAUGAGCCUAGGUCGGAUUAGCUAGUUGGUGAGGUAAUGGCUCACCAAGGCGACGAUCCGUAACUGGUCUGAGAGGAUGAUCAGUCACACUGGAACUGAGACACGGUCCAGACUCCUACGGGAGGCAGCAGUGGGGAAUAUUGGACAAUGGGCGAAAGCCUGAUCCAGCCAUGCCGCGUGUGUGAAGAAGGUCUUCGGAUUGUAAAGCACUUUAAGUUGGGAGGAAGGGCAGUAAAUUAAUACUUUGCUGUUUUGACGUUACCGACAGAAUAAGCACCGGCUAACUCUGUGCCAGCAGCCGCGGUAAUACAGAGGGUGCAAGCGUUAAUCGGAAUUACUGGGCGUAAAGCGCGCGUAGGUGGUUUGUUAAGUUGGAUGUGAAAUCCCCGGGCUCAACCUGGGAACUGCAUUCAAAACUGACAAGCUAGAGUAUGGUAGAGGGUGGGUGGGAAUUUCCUGUGUAGCGGUGAAAUGCGUAGAUAUAGGAAGGAACACCUAGUGGCGAAGGCGACCACCUGGACUGAUACUGACACUGAGGUGCGAAAGCGUGGGGAGCAAACAGGAUUAGAUACCCCUGGUAGUCCACGCCGUAAACGAUGUCAACUAGCCGUUGGGAGCCUUGAGCUCUUAGUGGCGCAGCUAACGCAUUAAGUUGACGNCUGGGGAGUACNGGCCGCAAGGGUUAAAACUCAAAUGAAUUGACGGGGG